rnacentral:rRNA from 1 species
GAUGAACGCUAGCUACAGGCUUAACACAUGCAAGUCGAGGGACCGGCGCACGGGUGAGUAACACGUAUCCCACCUGCCCUUUACUCGGGGAUAGCCUUUCGAAAGAAAGAUUAAUACCCGAUAUAAAGGAUGGGGAUGCGUUCCACUAGGAUGUUGGUGAGGGAACGGCCCACCAAGCCUUCGAUGGGUAGGGGUUCGGAGGGGAAGGUCCCCCACAUUGGAACUGGGACACGGUCCAAACUCCUACGGGAGGCAGGAGUGAGGAAUAUUGGUCAAUGGGCGCUAGCCUGAACCAGCCAAGUAGCGGGAAGGAUGAAGGCUUAUGGGUCGUAAACUUCUUUUAUAUAAGAAUAUGUAUUAUAUGAAUAAGGAUCGGCUAACUCCGUGCCAGCCGCCGCGGUAAUUC